UAGGGAAUCUUCGGCAAUGGACGAAAGUCUGACCGAGCAACGCCGCGUGAAUGAAGAAGGUUUUCGGAUCGUAAAACUCUGUUGUUAGAGAAGAACAAGGACGUUAGUAACUGAACGUCCCCUGACGGUAUCUAACCAGAAAGCCACGGCUAACUACGUGCCAGCAGCCGCGGUAAUACGUAGGUGGCAAGCGUUGUCCGGAUUUAUUGGGCGUAAAGCGAGCGCAGGCGGUUUCUUAAGUCUGAUGUGAAAGCCCCCGGCUCAACCGGGGAGGGUCAUUGGAAACUGGGAGACUUGAGUGCAGAAGAGGAGAGUGGAAUUCCAUGUGUAGCGGUGAAAUGCGUAGAUAUAUGGAGGAACACCAGUGGCGAAGGCGGCUCUCUGGUCUGUAACUGACGCUGAGGCUCGAAAGCGUGGGGAGCAAACAGG
rnacentral:rRNA from 1 species